UCACGGUGUGUAGGUCUUGCAAUUUGACCUGCCCUUUGGCAGUUGUAAACUAUUUCUAAAUGCUGUGGACAGGUAUUGACCAAACCAUAUGCCCAGCAGAUGUGAUUUCUGAAUGUUAUAGACAGGUAAUGACAGAUCUGGCAUAAGUGAUGAAGCUCCAGCACUUACUGUCAAUUUCAUCCGCAAGCAACAGUCGGCCAAUCAAGACAAGGUUCUAAUUGGAAUAAAAGCACAAGAAAUAGUCGAUUAAUCUCCGAAGAAUUCUGACAAUUGCUUUGCCCAGCUAACUAGUGGUUUUGUCACGUGGCUGUCAAAGGAACUAUCCAAAAAAGCGUCUGAGUGACAGACUCUCAGUGAAACAGAGGUUUAAGUGAUUUUAUCUCCCGCAGAGGCUGUAACAGUUGGUGAUGGUAUGGAAUGAUAGAUGCACGUCAUUUCGUUUUGGCACUGAAUAAACUUGAAGAAAAGACAUUCCCUCCUCUUUGAUAAAGGGAUAACAAGGUGUAGAGCUGGAUGAACACAGCAGGUCAAGCAGCG